rnacentral:rRNA from 1 species
UGCCACGGCAGAAAGUCUGACAGGCGGUUUACUGGCAGCCACACUUGUCAAUGUACCGGGCGUAUCCGAUGCGCUGCUGGCCGGAUUUGUCACAUACAGCGAAGAAGAAAAAAUGCGGCGCUUACAUGUUUCACGUGAAACAAUUACACAACAUACCGCGGUCAGCCCGCAGGUAUGCGAAGAAAUGCUGGAUGGACUGCGGGAAAUUUCCGGUGCAGAUGUGUGUGUAGUAACAACCGGCUAUGCCGGCCCGGAAGGCAAUGAUAUCGGCUUGGUGUAUAUCGGCGUAAUGAUUGGAAAUGAAAAAGCGGUCAUCCGGCACAAUUUCCACGGAGACCGGCAGCAAAUACGAAACCGCACCACAAGAAAUGCGCUGGCAGAGCUAUGGCGUAGAUUGCGGUAGUAAGAUGGAUAGUAGAUAAAAAGCGAAGGUUUCGACCUUCGCUUUUUUGUUUCACGUGAAACAUUUUGUUUUUCAGCGAUGUUUCACGUGAAACAUUCGCAAAGAAGUAAGUUCUUUUUGUAUUUCAUUCCGAUUAUAGGCUAUACUAUGAAAGAGAAGGAUUGAAGGAAAGGAGUUGGCGCCAUGGGAAGAACGAUCGCUGUGUUUAAUCAGAAAGGCGGCGUAGGAAAAACAACGACCGUGGUAAAUGCGGCGGCGGCUUUGGGAUUAUUAAAAAAGAAAGUUUUAGUCGUAGACAUGGACCCACAGGGCAAUACGACGAGCGCAUUCGGAAAAAAAGAUCCGGAAGACAGGCCAACGACCUAUGAAUGGCUGAUCGGCGAAGCGGAAUUGGAAGAUACAGCCGUUGAUACGGAGCCGAAUGUACGCCUGGUACCGGCCAAUGCAAAUCUGGCCGGUUUGGAAAUUGAACUGGCUAUGGAACCGGACCGGGAAUCGGUAUUGUGGGAACGCCUGGGAGAGCAAGCCGAUUAUGAUUUUGUGUUUUUGGAUUGCCCGCCGAGUCUGGGAUUGCUGAGUCUGAAUGCGCUGACUGCAGCAGACAGUGUUCUGAUUCCGAUACAAACGGAAUACUACGCAGUUGGCUUAGAAGCAGCCAUCCUUGAAAGAGUGCGUAAUAGCUCACUGGUCGAUGUGCUGCGGCGCCGACAAUCCACCGGGGCUCAAGCAUGCUACCGAAGCCGCGGAUUCGAAAGAAUGGUAGGGGAGCGUCGUUGUCGGCAGUGAAGGUGUGCCGGGAGGCAUGCUGGAGUGGCAACGAGUGAGAAUGUUGGCAUGAGUAGCGCGAGGAAGGUGCGAAUCCUUCCCACCGAAUGCCCGAGGGUUCCGUCGCGAUGCUGAUCAUCGACGGGUUAGGCGGGCCUAAGCCGAGGCCGGAAGGCGUAGGCGAUGGACAGCAGGUUAAUAUUCCUGCCCCGCGCAGCUGCGAUUGAGUGAUGGGGGGACGCAGGGAGCUAGGUCCGGGGGUCUAUACGACCCUCUAACGUGGUAGGGAGUUCUGACAGGCAAAUCCGUUGGAACGAUGACCGAGAGCGGAGUGGAAGGUGCGGCCUGCGGGCCAAGCCGGACGGAUUGAUGCUGCACUGACGAGAAAAGCCUCUAGCGAGUAGUAUGCGCGCCCGUACCGCAAACCGACACAGGUGGGCUGGUAGAGUAUACCGAGGUGGACGAGAGAACCCUUGUUAAGGAACUCGGCAAAUUAGCUCCGUAACUUCGGGAGAAGGAGCGCCCCGGCAGUGUAAGCGGCUUGCGCCGUGCGCACGAGGGGGCCGCAGUGACCAGGCCCAGGCGACUGUUUACCAAAAACACCGGUCCCUGCAAACGCGAAUGAGCGUGGACGUAUAGGGGCUGAGACCUGCCCAGUGCCGGAAGGUUAAAGGGAGGUGUGCAAGCACUGAACUGAAGCCCCGGUAAACGGCGGCCGUAACUAUAACGGUCCUAAGGUAGCGAAAUUCCUUGUCGGGUAAGUUCCGACCCGCACGAAAGGUAGAACGAUCUGGGCGCUGUCUCAACAGGGGACUCGGCGAAAUUGAAGGACCGGUGAAGAUGCCGGUGACCUGCAGCAGGACAAAAAGACCCCGUGCAGCUUUACUCCAGCUUGUCGUUGUGUGCGUGAUUCGUUUGUGCAGGAUAGGUGGGAGCCUAAGAUCCCGUGGCGUCAGUCGCGGGUGAGGCGUUGGUGAGAUACCACCCUGGCGGAUUGUGCAUACUCACCCGGGCCAGAUAGCCUGGCAGGGGACAGCGGCUGGUGGGGAGUUUGACUGGGGCGGUCGCCUCCUAAAGAGUAACGGAGGCGCCCAAUGGUUCCCUCAGGCCGGAUGGCAAUCGGCCGGAGCGCGUAAGGGCAACAAGGGAGCUUGACUGCGAGGCGUACAUGCCGAGCAGGGACGAAAGUCGGGCCUAGUGAUCCCACGGUACCGAGUGGAAGGGCCGUGGCUUAACGGAUAAAAGCUACGCCGGGGAUAACAGGCUGAUCCUGCCCAAGAGCUCACAUCGACGGCAGGGUUUGGCACCUCGAUGUCGGCUCGUCGCAUCCUGGGGCCGGAGAAGGUCCCAAGGGUUGGGCUGUUCGCCCAUUAAAGCGGUACGCGAGCUGGGUUCAGAACGUCGUGAGACAGUUCGGUCUCUAUCCGCUGUAGGCGAAGGAUGUUUGAGAGGGCCUGCCCCUAGUACGAGAGGACCGGGGUGGACGGACCGCUGGUGAUCCAGUUGUUGUGACAACAGCAGAGCUGGGUAGCUACGUUCGGGCGAGCGAACCGCUGAAGGCAUCUAAGCGGGAAUCUUUCCUCGAGACGAGACAUCCCUGGGGCUUCGGCCCUGAGAGAUCCCCGGGAGACGACCGGGUAGAUAGGCCACAGGUGGACAGCUGGCAACAGACUGGAGCCAAGUGGUCCUAAUGAUUGAUGGAGUAUGCGU